GAUGAAGAACGCAGUGAAAUGCGAUAAGUAAUGUGAAUUGCAGAAUUCAGUGAAUCAUCGAAUCUUUGAACGCACAUUGCGCCCCUUGGUAUUCCGAGGGGCAUGCCUGUUCGAGCGUCAUUAUAACCCCUCAAGCUCAGCUUGGUGUUGGGGCCUGCUGCACUGGCAGCCCUUAAAAUCAGUGGCGGCGCCAUCUGGCUCUAAGCGUAGUAAUUCUUCUCGCUAUGGAGUCCUGGUGGAUGCUUGCCAUCAACCCCCAAUUUUUCUAUGGUUGACCUCGGAUCAGGUAGGGAUACCCGCUGAACUUAAGCAUAUCAUAAGCGGAGGA
rnacentral:misc_RNA from 1 species